GCCCAGGCACUGGAUGCACCUGCAGCCUGAGAGCAGCAGGGGGCGGGGUGCCGGGAGGAGAGGGAUUUCAGAUCCCCUGUGCCCUGUGGACGUCAGAAAGCAGGACUUUCUCUUCUGAAACCUGGGCUAGUUCUCAGGUGCAACAGGCCCUGGGUGUGAUGCUCUGACCAGGCGCCCCGGGUGUAAGUACUCAGGCUUCUCGUGCUUCCUCUUCAUACUACACCUUUUGGAACCCAAGAACCUCGCGGCUGCUCCUUCUGGCAAUGGAAAUGUCAGAAAGCAAAGGAAAUUUAAGCUCCACUCAGAGAAAAGAGAAGAUACCAAAAAGUCUAGGGCAACAGACUGUGGUUCUUCAUGGUCUAUGACUCCAAGGUCUGAAAUGAUCUCAUUUACCCCACAUGAUAGAUGUGGCCCUUCCAGAUGAGGAGUUCAACAAGACUACAUGGUAGAGCAGCCAGAGAACCCACUGGAAAUAAGGCUCAAAAUAAGGAGUAACCACAAAAUAAGAGACAGAGAAUGCUGAUUCACUAUGCAGUGAAACAUGCCUAACGUGUCAACAGCUAAAUGCCCGGUGACAGUGUGGUUGUCUGGGCAACAGAAGAAGUCACCCACGCAAACACUUAAAGGACCAUACUUAUUUUACAAGAGGAACAGUUUUCAAUGGAAUGGAUAUUAAAACACACACCUGGAUCCCUUUACCACAGGUGCUUUGAGAGGCACCAUCAAGGACAGUGAGCUAACGCAGGAGAAUGGAGUCCCAGAAACCUAGGAGGAGAAGACAAAGUGUCAGCCUCUCGGCAUCUGCAGUGUUGCUAGGAAAAGAGCUCUGAUCCCAGGGGCUUACCCACUUCCACAGGUAGGAAGCGUCCCUGAGAGGACUGGAACAUUAGCAUAUCUCAGAUCCAUCUGCAAAACUUUUGCAAACACGGAACUCCCUCGUUCUAAUCUUAUCAGCAACUUCCAGAGCUGAACCUUGAUUAAUCUGGAUACAAAAAGGAUUGAAACGCCACAUAAUAAGCAUUAACAGGAGGGUGUUUCCUUUAUCAAUGAAGCUUGAUUUAUCCAUGAUGAUCUAGUGCAUUCUCCUCCCAAAAAUCAGGAUCAUCCUCUGCAUAUGAAGGAACAGACAAGCCCUCAGCUCUACCACUUUGGAGAGGGGGGGAUUGGACAGCAUGAGCCUUCAAUUGUAUCUCUUGGAUGACCAAGGAAGGCUGGAUUUCUGCACCUAAAAAAUGGAAGCACAAACUGUACAACAAAUACUCUCCAUUCAAGUUGAAGUUCUCAAAUAAGUUUUGAAAGGUUCACUCCAGCUACUCUGUUGACAAUGGAUUAUAGAAGACUGAACAUGGAAUCCAGGAGACCAGUCAGAAAACUUCUUCAGGAAUCCAGCACAGUCUUGGCCUGUUCUGGAGAAUGCUCCCCAUCAAAAAUAAUUGACUGGAGACAAGCCAAGUCAGGAUUCUCCCUGGGAUCAAUUUCUGAUGGCGCUUUCUUCAUAAACAGGGGGACCUUUUCAAAUUCCUCUUCCCACUGGUCCUCAUGAAAGCCGCCACGGUAAGGCUGGCUCUGGAACUUUUCCAGGAACAAGUCCGUGGCAUCGUCUGAGGUGGGGUCCUGCUCAGGUUACUCCAUAACUGAUGCCCUGCCCUCCAGCCCAGGUCCCGGCACCGUGAAGUGUAGAAAAUACUCUACAAUGAAUAAAAAUAAAAUACAAUAUUCAAGAUUUAUGAAUGCAAUAAAAGCAGUGGUCAGAAGGAACAUUUAAGCUCUAAACACAUUAAAAAAGAAGAAUGAUAUUAAUAGAAAAUCUAAUUGUGUAUCUUACAUAACUAGAAAAUGAAAAGCAGUCUAAAGCCAAAGCAUGAAGGAGGUAGGAAAUAAUGAUUAGAGGAAACAUAAAUGACAUAGAGAAUAGAAAAACAAGAGAGAGUAUCAAUGAACCUAAAAUUUGGUUCUUUAAAAAGAUUACCAGAUUUGACAAACCUUUAGCUAUACUAAUAAUAGAAGACUAAAAUAAAUAAAAUUAAAAAUGAAAUCAUAGACAUUAUAACUGAUACCAUAGAAAUACAAAGGAUCAAAAGAAACUACUAAUGAACAAUUAUAUGCCAACAAAUUGGAUUACCUACAGGAAAUUGAUGAAUUCCUACAACAUACAACCUACCAACGCUGAAUCAUGAAGAAAUAGAAAAUCUAAACAGACCAAUAGUGAGUAAAGAGAUUGAGUCUGUAAUCAAAAAUCUUACAAAAAAGAAAAGCUCAGUAUCAGACAGCUUCACUGAUGAGUUCUAUCAGUCCUUUAAUGAAAAUUUAUACCAAUCAUUGCCAAACUCUUUCAUAAAAUUGAAGAGAUGAGAAUAGUUCAUAAUUCAUUGUAUGAGGCUGGCAUUACGUAGAUACAAAGCCAGACAAAGACAUUACAAGAUUGUCUCUUUUAAGUAUAGAUGCAAAGCCUCUUGAUAAAAUCCUAUCAAACUGAAUACAGCAGCAUAUUAAAGGGAUCAUACUCCAUGACAAAUGGGAUUUAUCUCAGUAAUGCAAGAAUGGUUCAACGUAUGAAAAUCACUCAAUGUAAGAAACCACAUGAAUAGAAUGAAGGGAGAAAAAAGACCCCAAAAUAUACGAACAUUUCAGUUGAUGCAGAGGAAUCAUUUGAUAAAGUUCAACAUUCUUUUAAAACACUCAGUAAAUGAAGAAUAAAAGAUAUCUUCCAUAACACGAUAAAGGUGAUAUAUGAAAAACCCACAGCUAACAUCACACCCAAUAUUGAAAGACUCAAAGCUUUCCCUUAACAAUGGGAACGAGAGCAGGAUUCCUACUGUCGCUAUUUUUACUCAAUAUAGUAGUAGAAAUUCUAGCCAGAGCAAUUAGAGAAGUCAAAUAAAUGAAAAUCUUACAAAUUGAAAAGAGAGAAGUUCUCCAUUCACAGAUGACCUGGUCUUAUGUGUAGAAAGCUCUAAGGAUUUAAUAACAAAACUAUUAGAGCUAAUAAAUGAAUUAAGCAAAGUUGUAGGACAAAAAAACAAUAAACAAAAUCAGUUGUGUUUCUAUACACUAGAAAUAAGCAAUAGGACAAGUUUUUUAAAACUUUCUUUUUAUAGUAGCAUCUGAAAGAACAGAUAUGUAGGAAUUUAAUCGGAAAUUAAAGACGUACUGAAAACUACAAAACAUUGCUGAAAUAAAGAAGUCAUAAAUCAAUGGAAUGUGUUCAUGGUGUAAGAUUUAAUAUUGUUAAGGUGAUAAUGCUACUCGAUUUGCUUUGCUAAUCAAAGCAAUCUACAGAUUGAAUCCAACAAUUUUUUUUUUCUUGUGGAAAUAGAAAACCCAUUCUAAAGUUCAUAUGAAAUCUUAAGGGACCUUGCAUAGCCAAAACAAUCUUGAAAAGAAUAAAUGUGGACAACUCACAUUUCCUGAUUUCAAAACUUAUCACAAAGAUACAGUAAUCAAAACAGUGAGGUACUUGUAUAAAGACAGACAUACAGACCAAUAGAUUUGAAUAGAUAUUCCAGAAGUAAACUCUCACAUACACAGACAAUUGAUUUUUGACAAGGGCACAAAAGCCAUUCAAUGGGGAAAAGGACAAUCUUUUCAACAAAUGGUGCUGGGAAAACUGUGUAUCCACAUGUAAAAAAAUGAAGUCAAACCUUUUCCUCAAAUUAUAUACAGAAAUUCACCAAAAAUGAAUAAAAUACUUAAAUAUAAGAACUAAAACUAUAAAACUCUUAGAGGAAAACAUACAACUAAAUCUUCAUGAUAUUAAUUUCUUAGAUAUGACACCAAAAGGAUGAGGAAUAACAAAAAUAGAUAAACUGAAGGGUAGAAAGCAAAGUGAUAAUGGAAGAUGAGAGUCGAGUGAUGUGACCAGGAGCCAAGGAAUGCCAUGGCCUCUAGAUGUGGGGAGUUAAGGGACCAAUUUUCCCUGGAAACUCCUGAAGGAACUUGCCAUGCCAACACCUUGAUUAUAGCCCUUUAAGAUACAUUUUGGACUGUUGAUCUCCAGGAUUGUAAGAUAAUACAUUCGUGUUGAUUUAAGCCACUGAAUAUGUGGUGAUUUGUUACAGCAGCAAUAGUAAACUGAUACACAAUCUCAAUGAAAGUAGGGAUUUCUGUCUUCCCACACCCUGCUCACUUCACUAGAGAAUUUAUAGCACUUAGUGUAUUCUUCGAUAAAUAUUUGUUGAGUAAGAUGAAUGAAGCCAGACUUUAGAGUCAGAUUACACUUGGCUGGUUAACUGUUGUGAGGAAAGCAGUUGAAAGUUCUCUUGGCCUUGCUUCUACUUGCACUGGGAAGCACUGUCAUCAAUGAAGGGGUUGCUGUGGGUUUCAAGAGAAAAGAAAAGGUGUGAGAAUCUCCCAGGUACAGUGGGAGCUCAUCUGGACUAGGGAAAUAAAAUAGGAUUGCUUGGUUAUUGCUCACUUGGUCACUAAUAUAACAUGAAUUGAGACAGUAUGGUUGUAUAUUUUUCUCCAAUUAAGGUUAUGGGGUGGCAUGGCCUAGGGGAAGUUACUUAUUUUGCAAGGGUGAUUUGAUAGAGGCAGCAAGCCAGGUAGCUGGGAUGUUUGCAAGGGCAUGAUCAUAAUGGUGUACCAUGCAAUUUAAGCAGGGGCAGGUGGAAAUAAGGACUUGAUGUGAUAUGUUCAGAUCCAUGAAUAAGACAUCAUAACAGGAGUCACAGUAUUGUCAGACUAGAAGUACUGGAGGAAGGGAGCUGGACAUUUGAAAGAGAUGGGAGGGUGGAAUGUUUGAGAUUGAGUGAAUGGAGGUGCUGUGUUCAUUUGGUCAUGCUAAGGUCUUGGGGUGGCCAUGGGAGGGGUGGGUGGCUGAGGUGGGGCAGAGGACAGACUCAUCUGGAGAUGAUGCAAUAAAUGAAGGGGAAAGCUAGGCCCUGCAAGGAGCUCUCUUGUGUGUAUUAAAAUCAUCAAAAACUGUGGCAGGAGUGAUUGCAGAGAUCCUAGUGACCCAUGAUCAAGGAAUGAAGAGGAAGACCAGCGGUCUAGAGAUUACUGCACAUGUGGGGUGGGAAGAGGGCGGUAACAGAUGACAAUCAUUAAUUUGAUAAAAAAGUAUUGAAUGUCUGCUCUGUGCCAGGCACAUGGUGGUAGGGUCUGAUGGGAGGUUAAAGGGAAGAGAGGUGGAUAAUGUUCUGGAGAUUUCAAUGAGCAAGAAGGGUAUUUAGCCCACAUUGAGGCCCAACAGAUUGAAGCCUUAAAAGAAAACAGCAACACCUGAGAAGGAUGCCAGGAAAUGAGUCCUAGGGGUACAUGUGGAGUCAGCUGGAGCACAUCCAGGAAGAAGGACAGAAGAAAGACUGUGAAGGACUUGAGUCAGGGAGGGGUGUGAGCUGACUCAGAAAGGGUGAUGCAUGGGUAGGCCAUGGGGUGAGGGAUGAACGGGAGUCUUGGAUUUCCUGUGGUCACUCAGGGAAACCCAGCAGCUAAAAGUAAGUGAUUUAAGCAAAUGAAUGGACAGAUGAAUUAAUGAAUAGACUAAAGAUGGACAAAUGCUUCCACCAGCCUUGCUUCAGGCCCUAUUUAGAACUGAAGUUGACUUCCUCUUUCUUUUAAUAGCUGCAAAAAUGAUGAAUUUGAUUUUCGUCUCUAGAAGCAAUUUCCUUUUUAAAUCAGGUGAGGAUCUUGGCAGAUGCGAAGAAUCUUUCAGAACCUGCAUGUAUAUGAGAAAGGGAUAUGACAGCAUGAAGUUCUCCUGUUUGAAGAAGCUAAAUGGAGCCACUUUUUGACUCAGUUGACUGGGACCUGGAGCUGGUGCACUAUUUGAAUUGCAUGGUGUGCCUGCCGCUGCCUUUUGACUUCUCCAGCCUGUACACCUGCCUUUUUGGGGAGAACUGUGGUAACAUAUGGGGAGGCGUCCUGUAUUUUCUGCAAUAUCUGACAAAGAAAAACUAGUUGGUUCAUAUGUAUAUAUGAUCUUUCAACAAGAACGUCAAAUAAAUAUCUUCACUCCUUGGGGAGAAGCAGGUCAGAGCCCCACUGUCUCAGCUAGCUCUCACUUGGCUGUCUUGUUUUGGGGCUGGAAGGCCACACUGUGUUUCCUGGGGUAGAGGCGGAGUCUGGGCAUUCUCCCUUUGUAGCUGAGAGCUAAGAGCAGUUGUGUCUGCUUUGAUAAAAUAAAGUUAUUUUUUAGUUUAGUCUGAUCUCCAAAUCCUUCCCUUUCAGAUACCUCUGCCAUCCAAGAUCAGGGGAUACUAAAUUUUCAAAGCAUUUUCUCAGGAGUUGCAUGAGAAAACAUACACCUGCUCUUGUUUUCAAGGGGUGUGGGCAAGAAGUAAAAAGGACAAACUGUUAAUGAGAACACUUUCUGUAUUCCUCCCUCCCCACUGAUACAUACCAGUACCAUAAAAUUUAAAAUGAGUCAAAUGACUGCAGUAAGACUUUACUUUGGUAUACGAGGCAAAAUGUUGGACAUGGGUGCUAAUUAAUCAUCAGAGAGUUACAGGGGAACCUGGACGAAUUAAGACUGGGGCAAGAGACAGCUCAUCAAGGAUCUUGCCCUGUAGCUCAAGAAGAAAAUGUUUAACUUAGUUGCCUGGACACUCUGAGGAUAGAAUGAAAUGCUGUAUGCGACCUGUUGGCCUUGGAAGCCGGCAUGGAUUCAGCACCCAGGGUUGGGGUGAACCUUCUCUCCCUCACUGUGUCAGGCAUCUUAGUCUGCCCCAGGAUGUGCAGGCUGCCUGUCCCUGGCCUCACAUCCUGCUGUAAGUGGGAUUGUGACCCCCUGAAAUGCAUAUGUUGAAGCCCUAACUGCCUCUGUGAUGGUAUUUGGAGGUGAAGCCUUUGGGAGAUAAUUAGGGUUAGAUGAAGUCCUAAGGACCUCCAUGAUGGGAUUAGUGUCCUUACAAGAAGAGGAAGAGACACCAGAGCUUCCCCUCUCUCACCUGUGAGGACAGAGGUAGCAGGUGGCUGUG
rnacentral:lncRNA from 1 species